rnacentral:rRNA from 1 species
GAUGAACGCUGGCGGCGUGCCUAAUACAUGCAAGUCGAGCGAACGGACGAGAAGCUUGCUUUUCUGAUGUUAGCGGCGGACGUGUGUGUAACACGUGGAUAACCCACUUAUAAGACUGGGAUAUCUUCGGGAAACCGGCGCUAAUACCGGAUAAUCUUUUGCACCGCGUGGUUCAUAAGUGAAAGACGGUCUUGCUGUCACUUCUAGCUGCAUCCGCGCUGCAUUAGCUAGUUGGUACGGUAACGGCUUACCACGGCAACGAUGCAUAGCCGACGUGUGAGGAUGAUCGGCGACACGGGAACUUGAACACGAUCCAGGCACCUACGGGAGGCACCAGUCGGGAAUCUGACGCAGUGGGCGAAAGCCUGACGGAGCAACGCCGCGUGAGUGAUGAAGGUCUUCGGAUCGUAAAACUCUGUUAUUAGGGAAAAACAUAUGUGUAAGUAACUGUGCACAUCUUGACGGUACCUGAUCAGAAAGCCACGGCUAACUACGUG